CCUACGGGGGGCUGCAGUAGGGAAUAUUGGACAAUGGGCGCAAGCCUGAUCCAGCCAUGCCGCGUGCAGGAUGAAGGCCCUAUGGGUCGUAAACUGCUUUUGUACGGGAAGAAAACAUAUUACGUGUAAUAUGCUGACGGUACCGUGAGAAUAAGGAUCGGCUAACUUCGUGCCAGCAGCCGCGGUAAUACGAAGGAUCCAAGCGUUGUCCGGAUUUACUGGGUUUAAAGGGUGCGUAGGCGGACUUUUAAGUCAGUGGUGAAAGCCUGUAGCUU
rnacentral:rRNA from 1 species